rnacentral:rRNA from 1 species
AUGAACGCUGGCGGCGUGCCUAAUACAUGCAAGUCGAGCGAACAGAUGAGGAGCUUGCUCCUCUGACGUUAGCGGCGGACGGGUGAGUAACACGUGGAUAACCUACCUAUAGACUGGGAUAACUUCGGGAAACCGGAGCUAAUACCGGAUAAUAUAUUGAACCGCAUGGUUCAAUAGUGAAAGACGGUUUUGCUGUCACUUAUAGAUGGAUCCGCGCCGCAUUAGCUAGUUGGUAAGGUAACGGCUUACCAAGGCAACGAUGCGUAGCCGACCUGAGAGGGUGAUCGGCCACACUGGAACUGAGACACGGUCCAGACUCCUACGGGAGGCAGCAGUAGGGAAUCUUCCGCAAUGGGCGAAAGCCUGACGGAGCAACGCCGCGUGAGUGAUGAAGGUCUUCGGAUCGUAAAACUCUGUUAUUAGGGAAGAACAAAUGUGUAAGUAACUAUGCACGUCUUGACGGUACCUAAUCAGAAAGCCACGGCUAACUACGUG